GCGAAUGGCUCAUUAAAUCAGCUAUGGUUCCUUAGAUCGUACAUACUACAUGGAUAACUGUAGUAAUUCUAGAGCUAAUACAUGCCACUAUGCCCUGACCCGCGAGGGAACGGGUGGAUUUAUUAGAACAGAACCAACCGGUUGUGGCUUCGGCUGCUUCCGUUGUACUCUGUGAUGACUCUGGAUAACUUCACUGAUCGCAGUCGGCCUUGUGUCGGCGACGGAUCUUUCAAAUGUCUGCCCUAUCAAUUUUCGAUGGUAGGUGACCUGCCUACCAUGGUGAUAACGGGUAACGGGGAAUCAGGGUUCGAUUCCGGAGAGGGAGCCUGAGAAACGGCUACCACUUCUAAGGAAGGCAGCAGGCACGCAAAUUACCCAAUCCCGGCACGGGGAGGUAGUGACGAAAAAUACGGAUACGAAACUCAUAAGAGGCUUCGUAAUUCGAAUGAGUACACCUUAAAUCCUUUAACGAGGAUCAACUGGAGGGCAAGUCUGGUGCCAGCAGCCGCGGUAACUCCAGCUCCAGAAGCGUAUAUUAAAGUUGUUGCAGUUAAAAAGCUCGUAGUUGGAUCUGGGUCGCAUGGCUACAUGCCGUUGCUUGUGUUCCUGGCUUGGUCAAGGCUGAGUCGGGUUCGCGGUUCGGUGUCGUGGUUGUGCAGCCUUUCUGCUGUGUCUGUUUCGACAGGUGCUGACUGAAUCGGUGGGCUCGCUCGCUGGUUUGUUGGCAUGCUUCCGUAUGCCCUUCACCGGGUGUCGGGGGCGGACGGCACGUUUACUUUGAACAAAUUUGAGUGCUCAAAGCAGGCCUGUGUGCCUGAAAAUUCUUGCAUGGAAUAAUGGAAUAGGACUUCGGUUCUAUUUUGUUGGUUUUCGGAUCCGAAGUAAUGGUUAAGAGGGACAGACGGGGGCAUUUGUAUGGCGGUGUUAGAGGUGAAAUUCUUGGAUCGCCGCCAGACAAACUACAGCGAAAGCAUUUGCCAAGGAUGUUUUCAUUGAUCUGGAGCGAAAGUCAGAGGUUCGAAGACGAUCAGAUACCGUCCUAGUUCUGACCAUAAACGAUGCCAACUGACGAUCCGUGGUGGUUCUGCAAUUGACCCCGCGGGCAGUCCCCGGGAAACCUUUAAGUCUUUGGGCUCCGGGGGAAGUAUGGUUGCAAAGCUGAAACUUAAAGGAAUUGACGGAAGGGCACCACCAGGAGUGGAGCCUGCGGCUUAAUUCGACUCAACACGGGAAAACUCACCCGGCCCGGACACUGUGAGGAUUGACAGAUUGAUAGCUCUUUCUUGAUUCGGUGGUUGGUGGUGCAUGGCCGUUCUUAGUUGGUGGAGCGAUUUGUCUGGUUAAUUCCGAUAACGAACGAGACUUUGGCCUGCUAAAUAGUAUGCCUGUCCCCUGUGCUCGUGCGGGCAGCGGCGUCCGUCGCUCUUCGGAGUGGUGGUGUCGUUUGCCGGCGGGUACUGCGCAGGUGUCUACUUCUUAGAGGGACAAGCGGCGUGACAGUCGCACGAAAAUGAGCAAUAACAGGUCUGUGAUGCCCUUAGAUGUCCGGGGCCGCACGUGCGCUACAAUGACGGUUUCAGCGAGUCUGGAAUCCUGGCCCGAAAGGGUUGGGCAAACUGUAUCAUAACCGUCGUGACUGGGAUCGGGGUUUGCAAUUAUCCCCCGUGAACGAGGAAUUCCUGGUAAGUGCAAGUCAUAAGCUUGCGCUGAUUACGUCCCUGCCCUUUGUACACACCGCCCGUCGCUACUACCGAUUGAAUGGUUUAGCAAGGUCCUCGGAUUGGUGCCAUUGUAGUUGCUUCGGCGGCUCAACCGGUGCUGAAAAGACGACCAAACUUGAUCAUUUAGAGGAAGUAAAAGUCGUAACAAGUAGGUCGACCCGCUGAAUUUAAGCAUAUCACU
rnacentral:rRNA from 1 species